rnacentral:rRNA from 1 species
GACAGAGGGCUCAAACGUUGUUCGGAAUUACUGGGCAUAAAGCGCGCGUAGGCGGCUUGCUAAGUCGGUUGUGAAAUCCCUUGGCUCAACUGAGGAACUGCAUCCGAUACUGGCAGGCUCGAGGACGGGAGGGGUAAGCGGAACUCCAGGUGGAACGGUGAAAUGUGUAGAUAUCUGGAGGAACACCGGUGGCGAAAGCGGCUUACUGGCCCGUAUCUGACGCUGAUGUGCGAAAGCUAGGGGAGCAAACGGG